GCCGGACGUGACGUCAGGGCGCUGAGAGGCGAAGGUACAUAUGACAUCCUUAAAGAUAAAGAGAAGCACACAGUCCAUUAUUCUUGAUUCCUAAAGGUUCCUUGGUCUGUCCCUUUCUUGGAUCAUCUACUGAGGAUCAACAGCGCCUACAAACACCACUUUCCAGCCUGGUCUAUCAAAGCCCAACAUGUGAAGUUGUAUCAGCUCAGGUAGCUGCUGUUAGCAGUGGGAUACUGGUGAUGGUGAUAAUGUUCAGGCUGACUGUGCCAGAAAAGCAUUUUGGGAUGAGAUGAAGCGUUGUGCUCAACCAAGAGAUGGUCACUGCAGUGAUGGGAAAGAGGAGAGAGAAGAACACACACAUUCAGAUUAAAUCUGCAGUUAUUUCCUCUCACAC